rnacentral:rRNA from 1 species
GAUGAACGCUGGCGGCGUGCCUAACACAUGCAAGUCGAACGAAGCACCUUACCUGAUUCUUCGGAUGAAAGUUUGGUGACUGAGUGGCGGACGGGUGAGUAACGCGUUGGUAACCUGCCCUGUACAGGGGGAUAACAGCUGGAAACGGCUGCUAAUACCGCAUAAGCGCACGAGGAGACAUCUCCUUGUGUGAAAAACUCCGGUGGUACAGGAUGGGCCCGCGUCUGAUUAGCUGGUUGGCAGGGUAACGGCCUACCAAGGCAACGAUCAGUAGCCGGUAUGAGAGGCUGAACGGCCACAUUGGAACUGAGACACGGUCCAAACUCCUACGGGAGGCAGCAGUGGGGAAUAUUGCACAAUGGGGGAAACCCUGAUGAAGCAACGCCGCGUGAGUGAAGAAGUAUUUCGGUAUGUAAAGCUCUAUCAGCAGGGAAGAUAAUGACGGUACCUGACUAAGAAGCACCGGCUAAAUACGUG